CCUAUAUCUAUAAAUAAAGCCUAAUGCCUCCAUUCAUAGUAUCUCUCUCCACUCCAUAAUUCUUGUUGGGGGUCUGUGUGAUAGGCAGACAUACCCACCUUUAAAAUUUUUUAGCCACCUUAUUUUCACUUUCUUCCACCCUUCCAACACACAAGAAGGAGAGUCAGCCAGGGUAAGGUUGAUCCCAAGCCAAGAGAAUGAGAGAAGUCUGAUUU
rnacentral:lncRNA from 1 species